GGUCUCUCUGGCCCAGUUGGUUAAGGCACCGUCGCUAAUAACGCGGGGAUCAGCGGUUCUGAUCCUGUUAGGGAGCA
rnacentral:tRNA from 1 species